rnacentral:rRNA from 1 species
GACGAACGCUGGCGGCGUGCUUAACACAUGCAAGUCGAACGAUGAAGCCAGCUUGCUGGUGGAUUAGUGGCGAACGGGUGAGUAACACGUGGGUGAUCUGCCCCAAACUUUGGGAUAAGCCUGGGAAACUGGGUCUAAUACCGAAUAUGACCGAUACUCGCAUGGGUGUUGGUGGAAAGCUCCGGCGGUUUGGGAUGGGCCCGCGGCCUAUCAGCUUGUUGGUGGGGUAAUGGCCUACCAAGGCGACGACGGGUAGCCGGCCUGAGAGGGCGACCGGCCACACUGGGACUGAGACACGGCCCAGACUCCUACGGGAGGCAGCAGUGGGGAAUAUUGCACAAUGGGCGCAAGCCUGAUGCAGCGACGCCGCGUGAGGGAUGACGGCCUUCGGGUUGUAAACCUCUUUCACCAGGGACGGGGCGAAAGUGACGGUACCUGGAGAAGAAGCACCGGCCAACUACGUG